UGUGGUUUCGCACUUUCUCACUUUAGUCCCCUGUGUCUUAAAGUGUAUCAAUUUGGUAUCAUGUUGUUUCAUUUUUAUUUUUCGGUAGUUUUUUCGUUAAUAUUUUAUUAAAUUAUAUAAAAAACUUCAUAUACCUACCUAGGUUUAUCGAAUAUUCACUUUAGUAUCCUUUAAUUUUAACUUUGUCACUGAUUUAAAAAAAAAUAUAUAGUGAAAUUGCUGAUAAAAAAAUAAAAAUGAAACCACAGGGUACCAAAUUG
rnacentral:lncRNA from 1 species